rnacentral:tRNA from 1 species
AUCGAAAUAGCUCAGUUGGAAGAGCGUUAGACUAUAGAUCGACAAGUCCCUGGUUCGAUCUCCGAUUCUGGCA